GCCUAGAGACCUCGGACGGCUCUGACGUCUUCAGUAGCGCCGAAAAAAGGCGGAGUAGAGCGGAGGGUAAUAGGUACGAGGGUAAUAGGUCAGCCGUCCAGCCGAAAAUGAGUAGGCAGGUUUACGGGGAAGUCGCCCUGUGCUGAAUAGGGCUUACUCCCAGGUAAGUGCCUAGGCUUGUAGCAUUCAAUACGCGAAGAGGAGAAUGCGGAUGAAUAAAAAUAUGCGAAGGACAGGCUGCUGUUUUCUAGAAGAAUUGCCAAGCUUCCCCAUAUAAAUUGCAUUUUUUAGAGUUUUGGGUGUGCCUCGGUUUAAUGCAAGAUACCAUCAUUGUAGGUUUACUCUGCCACGAAAUCCCGCGGGGCUUCUCAAGCAUGCAUAGGAUUGCAACCGCAUUUGAAACAUUUGUGAGCUUUCUAUUCAAGGCAACUUAUAAACAUUUUAAAACCAGAUAAGGAACAUCUGUUGUAUUUCAUGGAAAUGCGUGAAGAGGGCACAAGUUGUGGGAUUGACGUUCUGGCCUUCAAAUAAAAUUCCACUGACCCUAGUUCUUGGGGUACAUUUCCUCCUUAGCUGAAAUGCAGUUGUGCCUAAUUUAUUCCUUAAAACCCUAUGCUGGUGGGGGUUUUUUUUAAAAAAAAAAAUCUCGGUAUAGUAUGAUCCUAUAUACUUUCCUCAAAGUAAGCCCCUCUCUGUUCAAUAAGUCUUCCUAGUAAAUCACAUAGUAAGCAGGCAUAGGAUUGCAGCCUUAAUUAUGGGGACAGAUGGUAAGCACCACUCAAGCCAGUGGUGACAUCUAUAGUGCUAGGUCCUAGCUCUUGUGGAAGGGCAUCAGCUGUGUUCUAGAUCCAGGGUCCCCAACAUGAUGCCCAUAGGCACUGUAGUAGCCUCCAACACACACACUAGCGCCUGCUAAGGCCUCCUAUCUCUCCAAUUAUUUUAAUUGAGGUUUUUGAGGGGGUUGCCUGUUUGGGGGUGCUGUCUGGGGUUUUUUUGUCUGUAUUUCAUUUGUUUUAGGGGUUGUAGGUGUUUUGUCUCUUUGCAGAUUAUGAGCAUCAUUUUUUUCCCUUUGGAAUUGGUAUUUUGUGGUGCCUGUAAGUUUCUAAGAUUUUGAAAUGUGUCCCUAGGCCAAAUAGGAUCCCUUGUAUCAGGUUUAUUAGCUUUAAGCCUAACCUGUAUCUGACACCAUAGAGAAGCAUUCAGUUAGAAUGUUGAAGGUAACUGCCUAAAAAAGUCUCAUAUAUAGCUACUCACUGGCCAAUGGUAAUAAGUGCAACCAGGAAGGGACAAUUCUUUAAAUAAGAAGGUUUCUCUUUCAGGAUUAUUUUAUUUAUGUGCAUUUACAUUUUUAAUCAUGCAGACCCAGUGUGGAUUACAUCUAGUUCAAUACAUUAAAUCAUGGAAUACAUAAACAUUACUAGACCAUAAAUUAAACUGAAUCAACAACAAUUAGAAAUAGCAACGAUACUUCAAUACUGACCUCAUUCUCCAAGCUGCAAAGGCCUGUGCAAAAAGGUACUUCUAGACCUGACAUCAAAAAGUAAACAACAAUGAAGGAAAGCGCAACCUGUUCCAUACUAACAAUGUCUCACAAUAUGUACGUAAAAUAAUCUAAGUUAAAGAAUCUGUUAUUACCAGUAAUUAAGAGGUGAAAAAGAGAUUGGUAAUUAACCCAAAUACAACUUGUGGUGCUAGACCAAUUAAUGUAAUUAACAGGUGGUUUACAAAGAUUUCAUAUUCAGUGCAGCUGGUGAGUCAUAAAAGAAUUUCUUGCAUCCAGGGACCCUUUGUAGGUAUUUUAACUUACUAAUUUGAUUACACACAAUCAGAAAAUAGAGGCUGUUGUUGUUAUGUGCCUUCAAGUCUCAGUAGCUUGUAGCCACUCUAGUGGUAUGCCAUCUGUUCCUGGUGAUUUGUUUCUUCCAAGUAUUUUAAGAGCAGCUUUCACCUCACAUUCUAAAGUUCCUGGUUCUUCAUCAUACAGUUCCUCCAUGAAUGAAUCUGUCAUCCUGGCAUCUCUUUUAUAGAGUUCUUCAGUGUAUUGCUUCCAUCUUCCUUUUAUUUCAUCUUGGCCAGUCAGUGUGUUCACCUGUCAAUUAUUCAACAUCCCUACUCUUGAUUUAAAUUUCCCUUUCAUUUCUCUAAUCUUUUGGAAUAGGGCUCUUGUUCUAUCCUUUUUGUUGUCCUCUUCUAUUUCUAUAAUAUUGUAAUAGUUCUCUUUGUCCCUACGUACUAGUCAUAUUGUUGCUUAGGGUUCUGUCUGUGUUUCUAUCUUCUUUUGCUUUCCUUCUCUGUUUAACCCUUUUAAGAGUUUCUUCAGUCAUCCAUUGAGGUCUUUCUCUUUAACUAGAGGUAUUGUCUUUUUGCAUUCUUCCCUGAUAACGUCUCUGACUUCAUUCCAUAGUUCUUCUGGUUCUCUGUCAACUAAGUUUAAAGCCUCAAACUUGUUCCUUAUUUGAUCUUUAUAUUCUUCUGGGAUGUUAUUAAAAUUGUAUUUUGGUAUUAUGAUUGCUUUGUUGGUUGUCUUCAGCUUUACUCUGAUUUUCGAUAUGACCAGUUCAUGAGCUAGUACCACAGUCUGCUCCUGGUCUUGUUUUUGCAGAAAGUAUGGAACUUCUCCAUCUUCUGCCACCAAUUAUAUAAUCAAUUUGAUUCCUAUAUUGACCAUUUGGUGAUGUCCACAUGUCAUCUUUUCGGUUGCUCAAAAAUGUGUUACAAUGAAUGAGGCCUGUGGUGUGGUGACAUCUGCCCAUUGGAACUUCCAUUACAUAUCAGGCUGCACCAUCUCUAUUGACUUUUCAAUGCCUAUUGAAAACCUUUCUCUUUCAACAAGCUGCCUGUGUUAUUUUUAUCUCAGUCAGCAUUUGCACUGGAAUUGAAAUAGUUUUAAUACAUUGAAUGGCUUCAUAUAUGUUUUAUUGUGGAUGUUUUUAUUGUCAUACUUUAUUGAUUGGCAGGACCCAGAAAGUAGUGAUGGGAGACUACUGCUCGUUCUCCUGGUCUUUGGUGUCCUACAGGGUUCCAUUCUGUCUCCCAUGCUUUUCAACAUCUAUAUGAAACCGCUGGGAGAGGUCAUCUGGAGAUUUGGAGUACAAUCUCAUCAAUAUGCUGAUGACACUCAACUCUAUCUCUCCUUACCUUCUGACUGCAGGGAGGGAGUGCUCAUCCUAAACUGGUGCCUGUAGGCUGUGAAAGGCUGGAUGUGGGCAAACAAACUGAAACUUAAUCCAGAUAAGAUGGAAGUGUUGCUGGCCAAGGGGAAAACUGUGCCAGGGAUAGGGUUGCAACCUAUUCUGAAUGGGGUUGCACUUUCCUUGAAGGAGCAGGUUCACAGUUUGGGAAUUCUCUUGGAUCCUGCCCUGCUGCUUGAAUCUCAGGUGGCUGUGGUAGCUAGGAGUGCUUUUGGCCAUCUUAAAAUGGUCUACCAGCUGUGUCCUUUCCUGGAAGCCGUUGACUUGGCCACAGUGACACAUGCUUUGGUGAAAUCGAGGCUUGACUACUGUAACGCACUCUAUGUAGGGCUGCCUUUGAAAAUAGUUCAGAAACUACAGUUGGUUCAAAAUGCUGCAGCCAGAAUGUUAGCUGGAGCACAGCACAGGGAGCAUAUUACCCCUGUGCUUUACCAAUUCCACUGGCUCCCAAUUUGUUUCCAGGCCCAAUUCAAAGUGCUGGUAUUGACCUUUAAAGCCCUAAACAGCCUUGGAUCAGUGUAUCUUAAGGACCGUUUGCACCCAUAUGCUCCUGCCCUGGAUUGAAGAUCAUCUGCCUCUGGUCUCCUCUGCGUGCCUGGAAUUAAAGAUGUUAGACUGACAGGCACAUGCAAGAGAGCCUUUUUCAGUUGUGGCUCCCAGGCUUUGGAAUUCACUGCCUCAAGAAUUCUGUUCUGUUCCCUCCCUGUUGGUUUUCUGGAAACUCAUAAAAACUAUCUUGUUCCAGAGAGCCUUUGAGUGGGUCUGACAGGCGAGUCUCACACUGUCUCUACGUUUUCUAUUUUUAAUUUUAUCUUGUGGUUUUACUAUUGUUUCCCCAUAUAUGUACUCAUAUGUGUACAUGUAGGUUUCUCAGUUUGUGUUAUAUAUAUAUAUAUAUGCUUAUUGUAUUUUAUGUAUUUUAAAUAAUUGUAUUUUAUGUAUUUUAACUUACUGUUUUGUCUUGUGUUUUUAUUUAGUGUUAUUGUUGGAAUUUUAAGGCUCUAAUGUGAACUAUAUGUUUUUAUGUUGUGCUUCGCCCAGAGUGGCUGGACAACCAGCCAGAUGGGCGACUAAUAAAUUUAAUAAAUAAAAUAAAUAAAAUAUUCUGUAUAA